UACAUAUUCCAGGCCAGGCAUUUCUCAAGAACUGCUUGUUUCUUUGUGGUUAUAGGUUGAAUAUUUGCUUUAUUGGUUACUACUUCUCACCAGGACACCUGAUAUUGUGUCUGCUCCCAGAUCUGCAAGUACAGUGGAAAGUGACACUGAUGGUCAUAAGGAUCUGAAUCACAGUUCAUCUCACUAGCAAGUGCUGUAAGUCAAAUCAACAUGUUGGAGGAUGUGAGUAAUAACAAGUGCACUGUUUCUUCUCUAGCUGAUGAUGGAAUUACCUGAAACGUGGAAGAAUCUUAGAAAGAUUGACUUCAAUGCGAAGCAUGAAGUGGUACCUCUACAGUCCAAAGUGUGUGCUUUUGGAGAUUGCUCAACUGAAUGCCCUUAUAAACAUGCUGUUAGGGGAACUCACCCCUGGUGAUCAUCAGAACAUCAUGACAAUAUGCACAAUUGAUGUACAUGCGAGGGAUGUUGUAGCCACGCUUAUAGCACAGAAGGUAAUUUGUU